rnacentral:rRNA from 1 species
AUUGAACGCUGGCGGCAGGCCUAACACAUGCAAGUCGAGCGCGCGGCGGACGGGUGAGUAAUGUAUGGGGCUCUGCUCGAUAAAGGGGGAUAACUCCUGGAAACGGUGCCUAAUACCGAAUACUUUCGGCUGAACCCAUAUUGGAUUAGCUAGUAGGUGGGGUAAAGGCUCACCUAGGCGACGAUCUCUAGCUGGUCUGAGAGGAUGAUCAGCCACACUGGGACUGAGACACGGCCCAGACUCCUACGGGAGGCAGCAGUGGGGAAUAUUGCGCAAUGGGCGCAAGCCUGAUGGAGCCAUGCCGCGUGUGUGAAGAAGGCCUUAGGGUUGUAAAAUACUUUCAGCAGGGAAGCGUUACCCGCACAGGAAGCACCGGCUAACUCCGUGCCAGCAGCCGCGGUAAUAC